UGUGAAGAGACGCUUCAUGACCAAG
rnacentral:misc_RNA from 1 species